rnacentral:rRNA from 1 species
GGGACACGUGGUAUCCUGUCUGAAUAUGGGGGGACCAUCCUCCAAGGCUAAAUACUCCUGACUGACCGAUAGUGAACCAGUACCGUGAGGGAAAGGCGAAAAGAACCCCGGCGAGGGGAGUGAAAAAGAACCUGAAACCGUGUACGUACAAGCAGUGGGAGCCUCUUUUAUGGGGUGACUGCGUACCUUUUGUAUAAUGGGUCAGCGACUUAUAUUCUGUAGCAAGGUUAACCGUAUAGGGGAGCCGAAGGGAAACCGAGUCUUAACUGGGCGUUAAGUUGCAGGGUAUAGACCCGAAACCCGGUGAUCUAGCCAUGGGCAGGUUGAAGGUUGGGUAACACUAACUGGAGGACCGAACCGACUAAUGUUGAAAAAUUAGCGGAUGACUUGUGGCUGGGGGUGAAAGGCCAAUCAAACCGGGAGAUAGCUGGUUCUCCCCGAAAGCU